AAGCAGCAACCUCCUUGUGGUGAGACCUGGGCAAUCGAUAUUAUUUUUGAUAUAAUACAUAUCAUGAUUUGUAAAAAUUAACAAAAUAUUUUUUCUUCUUUACAAAUUCUAAUCACAAUUAAAAAGGAUUCUAUACACUUUGUUUCAUAUAUGUAUUUUCUCUUGUUUACAUGAUAUAUAUUACAUAUGAAAUAAUAUUGAGCGAAUGGCUGCUUAAAGUAGGUUAAUUUUAUGUUAAAUUUAAGAACAAAAGAAUUCAACGAUUUAAUAAUUAAUAACAAUGGAAAAUGAUUAAAGAUGAAUGUUGAUUAUCGAGCAUAAUAUUCAUGUCAUUAAUUGAUAAUAGUUCUUUAGUUCUUAUUUUCUUUAGCAUGACGUAAUGUUAAAAAAAAAAAAAAAAGAAAAAGAAAUCUAUUUAACUUAAAGAAAAAUCCUUCAUAAUCAAGGAAAAACUUUGUCGAACUUUCGAGGGAAUUGGAAAAGUAGAGUAUAGUUCUAUAUUACUAAAUCAACCUGGAAUAGUUUGCCGUUGAAUUAUAUCGCAGUUAUCAAAAUUUUCAAACGAAUUAGGGCAUUGUUUAGACAAUAUAUUCAUAUGAUAAUUAAAAUAAAAAAUGUUCUUUCUUUUCUUUUUUUAUUUAUUACAUAAUAUCUCAGAUAUCGUGUAGCAAAUUAAUAUCUACUCGUUUUUGCGUUUUCCUAUUUAUUUGAAAUGUACAUAUUUUUUUUGUUGUUUUUCCUUUUUACCGAAAUACAAGGACAUGUAACUAUCUACGAUAAUCCACUGUUUAGAUCUCAUAUAUUUU